CCAUGGUGGAACCUUUUGUAAGUAGGCCAGUAAAUGUUUGAGUUGUCCACCAGGUUUAGAGUGUAUCUGAACUAAACCAAAGCCUGCAACAAAGCAAAGAAAAUCAUCCUACUGUACUGUAACAGUGCAGGUAUGACAAACUGCAGUGCAGUGUUAGAAACAUACAGAUGUAUUGUAAUUCCAUGGUACAGGCAGGCAUAAAGGGGCACACUGAACCUAGAGCGCAUUAGAGCGAAUUAUUUAUGUUGUGGGACCAUGAAUACUGGAUGUCUCUCUGCCCUGCAUCCAUGAACACCCUUACUGUCCCUGGAGAAAACCCUGGAGAAAACCCUGUUUACAACCGGCAUGCAAGGUUUCAGAGGGCACUACUGUCCAACAUUAACAAGUGAUACGUCAGCAUCCCUUCGAAACUGUUAACGUUUAUUAGUAGUCGUUAUAAUUACUAAUGUAAUGAAUCCCUCUGAGUAUUCGGGGUUCUCGAUGGAGGAGCAAGAAUACAGCAUUUGUGUUUUUAAUAGUUGAGGGUAAAGAAAAACAUCAGGAUGUGUGGCUUCUUUAACUCACACUGGAGGGAUGAAAUACGUACCGACUUUUUAGUGUAGGGGUGUCAAACAUACGGCCUGUGGGCCAGAAAUGGCCCGCCAAAGGGUCCAAUCAGGCCCACUGGAUGACUUUGCAAUGUGUGAAAUCUGCAGAGAAGUAAUUAAUUCCAAUUGCAAAUGUACCACUUUAAUCUCAGAGAAUAUCCAAUUUUUUUCUCAGAAUAUUACCCCUCUCUCCCAGGUCCGUAACAUUCUUUUUUUUCCUACAAUGGCUUUUGAACGCUGUCUUUGCAGAAGCAACUUGCGUUUGCCAACAUCAAGCUGACAAGAAACUCUGUGGCAGACAAAGUUUCCGAUCUUUCUGGAGUGGUUUACUGGUCUAGCCCAUUUGAGAUCAAAUUAGGGGUAUGUGGCCCAUGAACUAAAAUGAUUUUGACACCCCUUUUCUAGUGCGACCACUUCUUUCGAUAUGCACUUCAUGCUGUCGUUUUAUCAUGAGGGGAGAACUCUUCCCACCACUACAGCAGCAAAUGACUUGCAAUCAAUAGACUAAAUGGCAAUCGGUCCUAGCAAUGGAAGGUCAAUGUCAGAAAUAGCAACAUCAUGAUAUUCUAAUGCUAAUUCAUUAUGGGGGAGGUCAAUCAUAUAUGUCAUAUCACAGUGAUACAUCUAAAGCUCCAGUUUGCUCUACAUUAGAAAGAACUGAGGCUGGUUGCUAAAUCAUUAAUCUAGCGUGCUCUCAAAUGUAAUUAUUUUGCAAGUCCAGGAAUCCAUUUAUCUUAUUUGGGGGAUACAAUUCUUCAAAUGUUAAUAUCACUUGCCUCUCUUUCUCCUAUCUAUAGCAGUACUAUCAUCUAUAUAUUUGUCUCUUCAGUGUACAUGCAAUUAAAGCACUUAUAAGCUUGCUAUAACUCAAUGGUCAAUUACAGCUCAAAUAUGUUAUGAACAUGUCUGCACUGUGUGAUUACAGAAAACACACAUCUCAACCUAUUUACACUGAGCAAUGCUAUGCCACCUUACCAAGACAAAUCUCCGUCAUUACUGUUCACAGCAAUCAACCAAAUAAUGGCCACCGCCACUUUCCACUCUCUGCAAUUUUGUCUGUAUUUAUCCAUCACACCUCUCUUCUGUGACAGCCUGCCUUACUUUACGUUGCCUUACGCAGUAUGAGAGUGGUGGGGCGUUUGCCAGCACAAACAGCAGAUGUUUUGAAUCUAAAAGAUACACAAUCACUUAAUUCUUGGCAAUUCACAUGCUGAGCAACGCAGUCUGAUUGAAUCCACAGUAGGAAGGCAGGAUCGCUUGAAGGGUUUCUUUCCAAUGAGCUUUAUUUAACAAAUCUGAAACGUGUAUCUCAGUGAGUAAUGCAGACGACAUUAUUUGCUCUUUUAUGAUAUCACUCUAAUGCCCUGCAGGUCUUUUUAAGGAAAGAGCAGAGAGAGAUAUUAGAAUAACAAUUCACAAUUUGUUACUGCUCUCUAUUUUUCACUUUAAAUCAGUCACAAGAAACUUUUUUUCUCCCUCUUGUAAAGACAUAUUACAUAUUUAGUACCAGCAAAGAUAAUUGGAUGAAUCAGUUCAGAAGCUGCUGCAAUAAAAGUGCUUGUUAAGCGUUUUGGAAUAAAACCCUUCAAGUGCUAUGAAGAUUUUUGCUCUUUUAGAAAUGAAGAGUUAUUGUAUGCCAAACUCCAUUUGCUUCAAAGAAAGCACGCUUUAAUGCAAUAUAUUUUAUAUGAAAUUUAAACAUUGAUUCAGAGUUUAAUGAGAUAUUGGCUUUUAAAAA